UCCAGCAAACACAACAGAAAGAACCAGUAGCAGCCACCACAGACCCUCUCAGGACUCUUUGCUUUAUUGUCUCUCCAGAACCCUCAGAAUUAAACUAUCUGCAGUUUGAAAAAAAAAUUAGAGUUCUGCUACUGCUCAAGGCAAAUCCUAAUCACCUGCUGUGAGGCAGCCUCUUAUCUCACCCCUUGAAUUAAAACAAAAACAUAUUCACAUACCGUUUUUAAAUUAAGAAACCAAAAUUCUCACUGCAAUACUGAAACUAACAGAGACUCAAAUGAAUGGGGAUCCAAUCUGUGUUUUGGAAUCAGAAGAUUUAAUAUUGUUAAGAUCAUUAUACUAAUGGAUAUUUCAUAAAUUUAUGUAAAUAAUUAACAAACUAUUAUUUGAAUUGUGUGGAAAAAUAUCAAACUGUAUUUGAAGCAACAAAUAUUCUUCUGAAACAAUUUGCAAUAUCACAUUUUAAGUAAAGGAAGGGUUUUUGUGGGUCAGUUUCUCUGAGUAUUCUUUACUCAGAAAAAGUAUUUUACCUUAAAUUCCAACACACAAACCAAUAAUAAUGGAAUGGAAUCUGGUAUCUUUCUUCCUUCUGUGUGCAUGUAUAUAAAUAGAUGAUUGAUUGACUGAUUGAUAGGUAGAUGAUAGAUCGAUUGAUUAAUAGAGAGAAAGCAAUAAUUGAUAGAUACCUAGAUGAUAGAUAGAUAGACACAGUAUUGGUAUUUUCUUUAUUUAUUGAUGGAGUUUGAUAUUACUAACAUUUUCAUUCGGAGGGAAAAUAUUUCAAAACCAGGAACCAUCACCUGUAGCUCAUUUCUUUCUCUUGUCUCAGAACCCAUGUCUUAAGAUAGAAUAGCUAAGUUAUUCCCUCUUUCAACUUGAUUUCUCCAGACUCUUCAGUGACUGAAGACAUUAGAAAAGUUUUAUAUUUUUACUUUACAUUUUGAAACUCUUCCCAUGGCUAUUUGGUGAAAUUGUUGUAAACAUUAGUUAUUUUUUUAUAAAAGCAAUUACCUCAAAAUAUGUAAAUGAUGUUCCAUUUUGUUAUGGAAUACCCUCCAGAGGUGACCACUCAGACACAGUUUAUAGCUAAUUGAAAGUUUUUAUUCCAGCCAAGUGUGACUAAACUCAGGUAUCUUUUCACUUAAGUGUAGACCUAAGCAUUUAGAGCAAGGAAAAAAAAAUCACAGCCUUGUAUUUUACACAGAAGCUACAUACAGGGGGAGCGUUUACACAUGCAAGCAGUUUAACAGAAGCUAAGAUAUGUGGUUAUAUGGAAGGAAGGCCUUGCAUAAGCAGGCACUUGAUAGGGGGUUUUCAGAAGGGAAAACAGGAAAGGGGAUAGCAUUUGAAAUGUAACUAAAUAAAAUAUAACAAACAAACAAGCAAAAAACAACAACCACCACUACCCCAGAAGGUAAGAUUAUUCAGCUGGGGCAUCUUGACCUUGAAUUCCUUGAAUAAAGUUGGGUAUUUUUCUAGGUGAUUCUCAAUCAAGGAGAUCAAAUUCUAGUUAAACCUGCAUUGGCC
rnacentral:lncRNA from 1 species